rnacentral:rRNA from 1 species
AUUGAACGCUGGCGGCAGGCCUAACACAUGCAAGUCGAGCGGAUGAAGGGAGCUUGCUCCUGGAUUCAGCGGCGGGCGGGUGAGUAAUGCCUAGGAAUCUGCCUGGUAGUGGGGGAUAACGUCCGGAAACGGGCGCUAAUACCGCAUACGUCCUGAGGGAGAAAGUGGGGGAUCUUCGGACCUCACGCUAUCAGAUGAGCCUAGGUCGGAUUAGCUAGUUGGUGGGGUAAAGGCCUACCAAGGCGACGAUCCGUAACUGGUCUGAGAGGAUGAUCAGUCACACUGGAACUGAGACACGGUCCAGACUCCUACGGGAGGCAGCAGUGGGGAAUAUUGGACAAUGGGCGAAAGCCUGAUCCGGCCAUGCCGCGUGUGUGAAGAAGGUCUUCGGAUUGUAAAGCACUUUAAGUUGGGAGGAAGGGCAGUAAGUUAAUACCUUGCUGUUUUGACGUUACCAACAGAAUAUGCACCGGCUAACUUCGUG